CCGGCACGGGUGAGUAACACGUAUGCAAUCCACCUGUAACAGGGGGAUAACCCGGAGAAAUCCGGACUAAUACCCCAUAAUAUGGGCGCUCCGCAUGGAGAGCCCAUUAAAGAGAGCAAUUUUGGUUACAGACGAGCAUGCGCUCCAUUAGCCAGUUGGCGGGGUAACGGCCCACCAAGCUCGAUGGAUAGGGGUUCUGAGAGGAAGGUCCCCCACAUUGGAACUGAGACACGGUCCAA
rnacentral:rRNA from 1 species